GGACCCGGUAGUGUUGUGCCUUGUGAAAACUGGAGGCAGGGUGCCGCGGGCCCGAGACUUAGUCUCGGGCCGCCAUGGCCAGCGUCCACGAGAGCCUGUACUUCAAUCCCAUGAUGACCAAUGGGGUGGUGCACGCCAAUGUGUUCGGCAUCAAGGACUGGGUGACGCCGUACAAGAUCGCGGUGCUGGUGCUGCUGAACGAGAUGAGCCGCACAGGCGAGGGCGCCGUCAGCCUCAUGGAGCGGCGGAGGCUCAACCAGCUGCUCUUGCCCCUGCUGCAGGGUCCAGAUAUUACACUGUCAAAACUUUACAAGUUAAUUGAAGAAUCUUGUCCACAGCUGGCUAAUUCAGUGCAGAUCAGAAUCAAACUGAUGGCUGAAGGCGAGUUGAAGGAUAUGGAACAGUUUUUUGAUGACCUUUCAGAUUCUUUCUCUGGAACUGAACCAGAGGUUCACAAAACAAGUGUAGUAGAAUUGCAGCAAACAGUCAUUGCCAUUGUGGAAUUGCCAUUGUGUAGCCUGGAUGUCAGUUAAUGCUUUCCCCUUGUCUCUGGUCUUAUUUUCAGUACUUCCAGAAUGGUGAGAAAAAGACAGUGGAGGAUGCUGAUAUGGAACUGACCAGUAGAGAUGAGGGUGAAAGAAAAAUGGAAAAAGAAGAACUUGAUGUAUCUGUAA
rnacentral:sRNA from 1 species